CAGAAAUGUUUCCGAUGCUGCGACUGCUGUGUGUCCUGCUGCUCCAUGUAACAGCUGCAGGUUCUUUGGCCGUUCCUGUCCUCAAUCAGAGUCCAGUGGCUGACCCACUCUCUGCCGGUCAGACUGUCCAAGUGAAGUGCGUGAUGCAGAACGCUCUUAUUUUGGAUUCUUGGCGAGCCACCGCAUUGGAAUGACCCUCUGUGAUUCAUUUUCGGUGGUGGGACCACUCUGA